AUUGAACGCUGGCGGCAGGCCUAACACAUGCAAGUCGAGCGGAACGGCGGACGGGUGAGUAAUGCCUAGGAAUUUGCCUGGUAGUGGGGGAUAACGUCCGGAAACGGGCGCUAAUACCGCAUACUAUCAGAUGAGCCAAGGUCUGAUUGGCUAGAUGGUGGGGUAAAGGCCUACCAAGGCGACGUUCCGUAACUGGUCUGAGAUGUGGAUCAGUCACACUGGAACUGCGACACGGUCCAGGCUCCUCCGGGAGGCCGCAGUGGGGAGUAUUGGACAAUGGGCUAAAGCCUGAUCCAGCCAUGCCGCGUGUGUGAAGAAGGUCUUCGGAUUGUACAGCACUUUAAGUUGGGAGGCGUUACCAGCAGAAUAAGCACCGGCUAACUUCGUGCCAGCAGCCGCGGUAAUUC
rnacentral:rRNA from 1 species